AAAAGACGUUACUUCUCGUUGUUCAAAAGAAAGGUGCUGUCUCUACUACCCUCUACGACGAGCGUCAAUGGCGACGUUCAGCUGCCUCGAUGCCAGUCCCAACGCCAACGAUGAGCAGCUGGGCACGGUCAAGUACAGUACUGGACAAAGGCAAGCCUUGGCAUGGAUUAUAUUUCCCACACUGAAAGCUCGUGCUUCCUCCACUCAAGGUUUCCGACAACGGAUUUCCCGCUGCAGCUGCGCACGUCUGUUCCUGGUAUGCGAAGAAGACAUCGUCGCGGAUAUGAAAUCGUCUUCCAGAGACCUCUUUUAUCCAGACAACAUUUUUUUUUUAUCUUUUAGGCGUUCUGUGAAAUUAGGGCCAUCUCGAGCACGCUCGUCGGCGAAAGAGUAUCGAAGUAGAAAGUAGGUUCAUUAAGUAUGACGAGCUGCUGUUUUUGAAAAUGAAAUGCGAAUAACGUGGA